CAACCCUCGGUCACCACCGGUUUUGAGCCAGCCGGGUCCCCAGGACCCAGCCGGCUUUAAAGUUGUAAGCUCCGCUGGCCCUCAGCCCGACCGGAACAUAGUAAAACCUACUUGUUCGAAGGUCAAGGUUGAAGCGGUACGGCCUGAACAAAACCUACCCAACUCUAAG
rnacentral:misc_RNA from 1 species